rnacentral:rRNA from 1 species
GAGUUUGAUCAUGGCUCAGAACGAACGCUGGCGGCAGGCUUAACACAUGCAAGUCGAGCGCCCCCGCAAGGGGGAGCGGCAGACGGGUGAGUAACGCGUGGGAAUCUACCCAAUACUACGGAAUAGCUCCGGGGAAACUGGAAUUAAUACCGUAUGUGCCCUACGGGGGAAAGAUUUAUCGGUAUUGGAUGAGCCCGCGUUGGAUUAGCUAGUUGGUGGGGUAAUGGCCUACCAAGGCGACGAUCCAUAG